rnacentral:lncRNA from 1 species
CUGUGAGUAUACUCCCUAAUAAUUUUACCAGAUUUCUUUUGCAGAGAUGGGGAGUUUCCUGGGGAACUUAAGCUAAAACAUUACUGUGAUUACAAGACGAAAUUUGCCCUUCCAUUUGCUUAAAAUAUUGAUGUUAUUCAUGACAUGCCAUAUUUCAAAUUUCCUCUUGAAAAUUUUAUUAAGUACUUAGAAAAAACAUUGAUUUCCCUAAAAUCUGUCCUUUUCUUUUUUAUAAUGAUCUAGUACAUCAUUGCAUGAUGGGCUUUACAUUUGGCUAUUGAAAAAAAAUGGUAAAUUUAGGAUUUGUUGUGGUACUUUCCUACUCAAGUUCUGAAAAAUGAUAGGUAUCAUUUUUAUAUAAAACGAAAGCAAAAAUAUUAUUUUCAUUACAAUAGUGGUAAAUGGGAGGACAGAGCUUCAUACAAGGCAAAGCAGCACUCUCCUCUGAACUCAAGUCACCAGCAAUUUUAUCCAGCCCCUGGCAGUGGGGCUGGUGGGCAGUUAUUCCCAUGCAACAGAGAGGAGAGUGUACUCUGGAGGUACCGAACUCCUAGUGGUAUAAGAAGAGGAAGAUCUUCGCCUACAGGUGUCUGAUUUAUCCUUCCCAACUCGACAAUGAAUGGUGAAAUAAUUUACUACACCUUUCAUUGAUCUUCUGUCAUCAUUGUUCCCCAGAUGGAAGGGUCGGAGAUGAGUGUCAUGAAACAAGGUUGGGUUCAGCAUGACCUAUUGAAAGGCUACCCCUAAGGCGGUCAGCACAGAGAAGAAAGGGCCCUUUCAGAGGUCUGAUGCACAGAAAAAAAAUCCAAUGUGGAGGCAAUGGAAAUGGAGGAUGACCCCAGAUUUGGGGAGAAUAAUGGAAUCACUGAGAUGAGGAACCCGUGAAAAGAAGGUGAUUACAGGACGGGAGGUUCGGGUAUGGAAUCAACCCAAGCAGAAGUCAUGGAGCACCACAGAGCUACAGCUAAGCAAAGGAACUAAUAAGUUACAGCAGAAAUUUGAGUCUAGGGGCCAGUGCUAUAGCGUGGCAUGUAAAGCUGCCAUCUGCAGUGCAGAACCAGUGGGUUCUGGUUCAAUCCCAGCUGCUCCACUUCCAAUCCAGCUCUCUGCUUUUGCCUGGGAAAGCAGUGGAAGAUGGCCCAAGUCCUUGGGCCUCUGCACCCAUGUGGAAGACCUGGAAGAAUCUCCUGGCUUUGGAUUGACACAGCUCCGGCCAUUGUGGCUAUCUGGGGAGUGAAUCAGUGGAUGGAGGACCUCUCUCUCUGCCUCUGCCUCUCUGUAAUUCUUCCAUUCAAAUAAAUAAAUAAUCUUAAGAAAAAGAAAUUUGAGU